UACGGAGGGUGCAAGCGUUAUCCGGAUUCACUGGGUUUAAAGGGUGCGUAGGCGGGCUUUUAAGUCAGUGGUGAAAUCUCCGGGCUCAACCCGGAAAUUGCCAUUGAUACUAUUAGUCUUGAAUUAAGUUGAGGUGGGCGGAAUGUGUCAUGUAGCGGUGAAAUGCUUAGAUAUGACACAGAACACCGAUUGCGAAGGCAGCUCGCUAAACUUAUAUUGACGCUGAGGCACGAAAGCGUGGGGAUCAAACAGG
rnacentral:rRNA from 1 species